UACGGAGGGGGCAAGCGUUGUCCGGAUUUACUGGGCGUAAAGAGCGCGUAGGCGGUUGUUCAAGUCGGGUGUGAAAGCCCUCGGCUCAACUGGGGAAGUGCAUUCGAUACUGAUCGACUAGAGGGCAGGAGAGGGUAGUGGAAUUCCCGGUGUAGUGGUGAAAUGCGUAGAUAUCUGGAGGAACACCGGUGGCGAAGGCGGCAACCUGGACCAUGACUGACGCUGAGGAGCGAAAGCCAGGGGAGCAAACGGG
rnacentral:rRNA from 1 species